UACGGAGGAUCCAAGCGUUAUCCGGAUUUAUUGGGUUUAAAGGGUGCGUAGGCGGAUAAAUAAGUCAGUGGUGAAAGCCUGCAGCUUAACUGUAGAAUUGCCAUUGAUACUGUUUAUCUUGAAUAUAGUUGAGGUGGGCGGAAUAUGACAUGUAGUGGUGAAAUACUUAGAUAUGUCAUAGAACACCGAUUGCGAAGGCAGCUCACUAAGCUAUGAUUGACGCUGAGGCACGAAAGCGUGGGGAGCAAACAGG
rnacentral:rRNA from 1 species